GGUUGACCUCGGAUCAGGUAGGGAUACCCGCUAACUUAAGCAUAUCAAU
rnacentral:rRNA from 1 species